rnacentral:rRNA from 1 species
GACGAACGCUGGCGGCGUGCCUAAUACAUGCAAGUCGAACGCAGUGGGGACGGGUGAGUAACACGUGGGUAACCUCCCAUCAGAGGGGAUAACCCUUGGAUACAGGUGCUAAACCGAUACUGAUGGAUGGACUCGCGGUGCAUUAGCUAGUUGGUGAGGUAACGGCUCACCAAGGCGACGAUGCAUAGCCGGCCUGAGAGGGUGAUCGGCCACACUGGGACUGAGACACGGCCCAGACUCCUACGGGAGGCAGCAGUGGGGAAUCUUCGGCAAUGGACGAAAGUCUGACCGAGCAACGCCGCGUGAGUGAAGAAGGUUUUCGGAUCGUAAAGUUCUGUUGUUAGAGAAGCGGUAUCUAACCAGAAAGCAACGGCUAACUACGUGCCAGCAGCCGCGGUAAUAC